UACAGAGGGUGCAAGCGUUAAUCGGAUUUACUGGGCGUAAAGGGUGCGUAGGUGGCUAUUUAAGUCGGAUGUGAAAGCCCGGGGCUCAACCUCGGAAUUGCAUUCGAUACUGAGUGGCUAGAGUUCGGUAGAGGGCGGCGGAAUUUCCGGUGUAGCGGUGAAAUGCGUAGAUAUCGGAAGGAACAUCAAUGGCGAAGGCAGCCGCCUGGGCCUGAACUGACACUGAGGCACGAAAGCGUGGGUAGCAAACAGG
rnacentral:rRNA from 1 species